UUAUAUAAAAAUACAAAUGUACAAACUAGGUGAAACCUAUUAACUGAAGAAGAGGAUAAGUAUCUUCACAUCUAACCAGGAAGAAUAACCAAAGAGUCCAAGUGGAACAAAGCCACCACAAAGUUUAGCAGUGGCAGAAGUUAAGGAAUGGAAACCCAAAUGAGGAUUCAGUGUUAAAAAGAAGAAACUGCUGGGAUUGCAGGAUACAAUAAACAAAGUAAACUGUACUGGGAAUUGAACUCCUAAUGGACUGUAACUCACAAAGAGUAAGUUAUUCUUUUAACGGACUAACCUCUCGGUUCAGCUAAUAAAAGGAAGUAAAUCGAAAGGCAUCAACGAUCAUUUUUGUACGGACACAGAAAGAAAUUGAGAUAUUUAGUUAAUAAUUGAGAUGAGAACCCAAC